CCCAAUAAUGUAUCUAAUAUUGUCCGAUAAAGAUCUUUCAGAAGACGAGGAAAGAUGGGAACCAGCUUGCUGAUUUGAGGAAUGCCUUGCAAGCAUCACCACUUGGACUUGGACAAGUAUUUUCGAUGACAUUCAGCCUUGUUCAGGAUUUGGUUUACAGCUGAGCAAAAGAAGCUCCUUUAGUUUGUUUCCUGCUAAGAAAAAGUGUGAAAGGAGAAGAAUAUAAGGGAAGAAUAGAAAUGAUCCCAAUCAACCCCAAUUGAAGAAGGACACCCUAAAGAUGCAAUAGUCUUUGAGAAGUUGGGGGCUACAACUCAAGCACUUGAUCUUCUGGAAGUCAUGGAUGAGAUCACUGGGAAGAAGUAUGAGCCUCUGCCAGAUUUUUAAAGGUAAAAGUACUGUAUUUUUUGGAGUAUAAGAUGCACCGGAGUAUAAGAUGUACCUACCUUUUUUGGUGAGAAAAAAAAGAAAAAGAAAUCUCUUCCUGCCUCUGCCUUUGAGCAAUUUUGCCUUGUUGCAGCAAACAGUAAUCAGCCUGCUUUACUUCCAUUUUUGUUUUCAGCAUAGCUUGAUUAGCACAAGGGGGAAAAAAAAUCUGCUCCAGCAAUUUACCUCUUUGCAGCAAGCAGC